rnacentral:rRNA from 1 species
UUGCUCCUACGGGGGGCGCAGUGGGGAAUAUUGCACAAUGGGGGAAACCCUGAUGCAGCGACGCCGCGUGAGUGAAGAAGUAAUUCGUUAUGUAAACCUCUUUAGGCGGGGAGCAAUGCCGGGCACGUGUGCCCGGAGGGAGAGUACCCGCAGAAUAAGCAUCGGCUAACUCCGUGCCAGCAGCCGCGGUAAUACGGAGGAUGCGAGCGUUAUCCGGAUUUAUUGGGUUUAAAGGGUGCGUAGGCGGAUUUUUAAGUCAGCGGUAAAAUGUCCGGGCUCAACCCGGGCCGGCCGUUGAAACUGGG